GACGAACGCUGGCGGCGUGCCUAAUACAUGCAAGUAGAACGCUGAAGGAGGAGCUUGCUUCUCUGGAUGAGUUGCGAACGGGUGAGUAACGCGUAGGUAACCUGCCUGGUAGCAGGGGAUAACUAUUGGAAACGAUAGCUAAUACCGCAUAAGAGUAGAUGUUGCAUGACAUUUGCUUAAAAGGUGCAAUUGCAUCACUACCAGAUGGACCUGCGUUGUAUUAGCUAGUUGGUGGGGUAACGGCUUACCAAGGCGACGAUACAUAGCCGACCUGAGAGGGUGAUCGGCCACACUGGGACUGAGACACGGCCCAGAAUCCUACGGGAGGCAGCAGUAGGGAAUCUUCGGCAAUGGACGGAAGUCUGACCGAGCAACGCCGCGUGAGUGAAGAAGGUUUUCGGAUCGUAAAGCUCUGUUGUAAGAGAAGAACGAGUGUGAGAGUGGAAAGUUCACACUGUGACGGUAUCUUACCAGAAAGGGACGGCUAACUACGUG
rnacentral:rRNA from 1 species